CCUACGGGAGGCAGCAGUGAGGAAUAUUGGUCAAUGGACGAGAGUCUGAACCAGCCAAGUAGCGUGAAGGAUGACUGCCCUCUGGGUUGUAAACUUCUUUUAUAUGGGAAUAAAAUGUUCCACGUGUGGGAUUUUGUAUGUACCAUAUGAAUAAGGAUCGGCUAACUCCGUGCCAGCAGCCGCGGUAAUACGGAGGAUCCGAGCGUUAUCCGGAUUUAUUGGGUUUAACGGGAGCGUAGGUGGAUUGUUAAGUCAGUUGUGAAAGUUUGCGGCUCAACCGGAAAAUUGCAGUUGAAACUGGCAGGCUUGAGUACAGUAGAGGUGGGCGGAAGUCGUGGUGUAGCGGUGAAAUGCUUAGAUAUGACGAAGAACUCCGAUUGCGAAGGCAGCUCACUGGACUGCAACUGACGCUGAGGCUCGAAAGUGUGGGUAUCAAACAGGAUUAGAUACCCUUGUAGUC
rnacentral:rRNA from 1 species